rnacentral:rRNA from 1 species
UACGUAGGGGGCUAGCGUUGUCCGGAAUCAUUGGGCGUAAAGAGCGUGUAGGCGGCCCGGUAAGUCCGCUGUGAAAGUCGGGGGCUCAACCCUCGAAUGCCGGUGGAUACUGGCAGGCUUGAAUCCGGGAGAGGGAUGUGGAAUUCCAGGUGUAGCGGUGAAAUGCGUAGAUAUCUGGAGGAACACCGGUGGCGAAGGCGGCAUCCUGGACCGGUAUUGACGCUGAGGCGCGAAAGCCAGGGGAGCAAACGGG